GUAUAUACGGUAGGUAAGUGCAAGUCAUUAAGGGUUUUUCGAUCAGGAAGAUGGCAUAAACAGAGGUGUGUUUUUAAAAUAUAACCGGCAGCAUUAAUGCAAUAAAUAGGUUUCUAACAAGAGGCAAGAGGCAGGGAGCCUACUCAGGAGAACACAGGGCCAUACACUGUGACAGAUGAUGACAGCCUCAGCUGAGCAAGGAGUCCUUCCAAAUAGUGUGAACUCAUCGGCUUCCCUGUAACUCUACAGAACUCACACUGCCAUAUAACUGGAAAUCAGAGAGGAGGACAUAAUACCUUUGUCUUCUGGAAAAUGCAGAAAGCAACAAGGCACCAUCUUGGAGAUGUUUACAGAACCUCACCUGGCCCUCAACUUGCCUAUGCCUUGAAAUGGGACUUCCUAGACUCAAAAGUGUGAGAAAUAAACUUCCAUUAUUGCUAAAUUA